CACUGGUGGCUCAUAUUCAUUUUAUGGUCAAUUAUGACUCCCUAGCUCCCCUGUAGCUCAUGACUCCGAGGAAGAGGAAGGAAGGCAGGCGACACAUGCCCAUCUAGAAGAACUCCAGGUAUUGUUCAAUCCAAACUGCAGUAAGAACUGGUUUCUGCGCCACUGCUUAGAGCUUGAACCUGCGUGCCUUUCUGUGGUGAUUUUGAGUGCAACAGCAGGCUGCAAGUGGAGGAUGAGAACUUCAAUCUGCAGCUGGCCCUGGGUGAGUCUCCCUUCCCAAUGGACUGGGCUAGGUGCUAGCUCCCCUGGGUUGCUUUGCUAGUGACUGAAGUUAUUAACUGUUUGAGGUUCACUUAAUGCUUAAUGGUUGAGGUUUGUUUUAAGUUGUGUGUUUAUCCCUUUCCCCUCUUGUAAUAAGUCCUGUUUUACUUGAAUGCUGCUUGCAAGUGGGGAGGUUUGUUCAUGUUAGAACAGGGGUGAGCAAAAUGUGGCCCGCCAGGCCAUUCUAUCCAGCCUGUGGGGCCCCUAAAAAAUUUAGAAAAUAAAUAUGUAUCUGCCCUGGGCUGCCUGUCAUGCAGCCCUUGAUGGCUUGCCAAAACUCAGUAAGCAGCCCUUUGCCCAAAAUAGUUGCCCGCCCCUGUGUUAGAACACGCAGUUAAAAUUCAUUUUCUCAGUUGUGUGGGGGUUCAAGUCAGAUUUAGAAAGGUGAUGUUAAACCUUUAACUUUGUUACUGCUGUCCAAGGACCUGCAGAAGUGCUAAGUUUACAUGACAUAAAACAUGUCAGUAAAAAAGUUUGGUUGUCAGUAAAAAGUCUGUAGCUUGUCAGUAGAAAAUUAAUAAACGUUCCUGGGCCAGCAAUUCUGCCAUGGAUGCAGGUAGGUUUGCUGCCCCAGUUCAUGCA